UAGCUACUCCCUCCGUCCGAAAAUACUUGUCACGAAAAUGGAUAAAAGGAGAUGUAUCUAGAACUAAAAUACAUCUAGAUACAUCCCCUUUUAUUCAUUUUGAUGACAAGUAUUUCCGGACGGAGGGAGUAUCAU
rnacentral:pre_miRNA from 1 species